AGGAUGUUAGGCAAACUUAUAUGAUGGACAUUAAUUCCAUCUCUUUGAAAUUUAAAAAGAAGCUUGAGAAACUUUCCGGCCAUAAAAUCAUCUUUAAUAGAAGAAAAACACAUUUCAAUCGUAUUAAGAAUGAUAAAGAUAAAAAUUAAUGACAUGUACUUCCCUGGAGUGUACCAAAUACCUCUCUAUGAUAGUGACACAGAUACUAAUGCGAACUAUAUUGGUUUUACAGCGCGCUCACUGAAGAGAUGCAUCAAAGAACAUAAAAAAGAUGUAGAGAGCAGGGCGGCUACUGCUGCUUUGGUGCAGUGUGCGCUCACUUCUGACUUGGACGUGGAUUGGAAC
rnacentral:lncRNA from 1 species